UUACUAUUGAUCUAGCUUAAAAAUUAAUUUAUAUCAUCUUAGAUUAUGUUUAACGCAAAGUACGUUUUAUUCUUUUUUACUAGGUUCAGAAUGGAUACAUUUCUCCAAUGAAGAAAGAUUGUCAAGGAUGAUUUCAUCGUUUUGAAGAGAUGGAAGACGCGAGAAGAUCCACACCCAUGGAAAGAAAAAUGACAUUUUUUCUGAUGUUGGAGAUAAAUCCUUUCUGAGAGUUCAGAAUGGAUACAUUUCUCCACUGAAGAAAGAUUGUCAAGAAUGAUUUCAUCGUUUUGAAGAGAUGGAAGACGCGAGAAGAUCCACACCCAUGGAAAGAAAAAUGACAUUUUUCUGAUAUUGGAGAGAAUUCCUUUCUGAGAGUUCAGAAUUGAUACAUUUCUCCAAUGAAGAAAGAUUGUCAAGGAUGAUUUCAUCGUUUUGAAGAGAUGGAAGACGCAAGAACAUCCACACCCAUGGAAAGAAAAAUGACAUUUUUCUGAUAUUGGAGAGAAAUCCUUUCUGAGAGUGUGUUAAUAUUAUUAUUGAUCUACCUUAAAAAUUAAUUUACAUUAUCUUAGAUUAUGUUUA